GAUGAACGCUGGCUACAGGCUUAACACAUGCAAGUCGAGGGGAAACGACGGGGAAGCUUGCUUCCCCGGGCGUCGACCGGCGCACGGGUGAGUAACGCGUAUCCAACCUGCCUCUGACUGAGGGAUAACCCGUCGAAAGUCGGCCUAAUACCUCAUGGUAUCGUCUGCGGGCAUCCAACGACGAUUAAAGAUUUCAUCGGUCAGGGAUGGGGAUGCGUCUGAUUAGCUUGUUGGCGGGGUAACGGCCCACCAAGGCUACGAUCAGUAGAGGUUCUGAGAGGAAGGUCCCCCACAUUGGAACUGAGACACGGUCCAAACUCCUACGGGAGGCAGCAGUGAGGAAUAUUGGUCACUGGGCGAGAGCCUGAACCAGCCAAGUAGCGUGCAGGAAGACGGCCCUAUGGGUUGUAAACUGCUUUUAUGCGGGGAUAAAGUGAGGGACGUGUCCCUCAUUGCAGGUACCGCAUGAAUAAGGACCGGCUAAUUCCGUG
rnacentral:rRNA from 1 species